AUGAACGCUGGCGGCAUGCCUAACACAUGCAAGUCGAUCGGUAAGGCUCUUCGGAGUACACGAGCGGCGGACGGCUGAGUAACGCGUAGGAACACACCCUGCAGUGAGGGAUAAGACACCGAAAGGUGUUCUAAUACCGCAUACGGUCUUCGGAUUAAAGCAUUUAUGCGCUGAAGGAGUGGCCUGCGUCAUAUUAGAUAGUUGGUGAGGUAAUGGCUCACCAAGUCGAUGAUGUGUAGCUGGUCUGAGAGGAUGAUCAGCCAGACUGGAACUGAGACACGGUCCAGACUCCUACGGGAGGCAGCAGUGAGGAAUAUUUCACAAUGAGCGAAAGCGUGAUGGAGCAAUGCCGCGUGCAGGAUGAAGGCCCUCGGGUUGUAAACUGCUUUUAUAAGAGAAGAUUAUGACGGUAACUUAUGAAUAAGGGACGGCUAACUACGUG
rnacentral:rRNA from 1 species